CACAUGUCAGAUAGUCAUAUUUCUCCUGUCUGAAAGUGUGUUUUUCACUAUAUAUAUAUAUAUAUAUAUAUAUAUAUAUAUAUAUAUAUAUAAGCAAUAGAUCACUUCAGUCAGUGGUAUGUGCUCAUUAUACCACUGUUAAGCGGCGUUGUCCGGCCCCGACGCGCCCUUUGUGAAUUUUGCAAUUAUUAGUCCACUUUGUGUUUGCCAUUUGUCUGAUUUCAUUAAAAAUGUGAACAGGUUAUUUGUGGACAUAUGUUCUGAUUGGACUGUUUAAAAUCAGCUUUGUUCAGUGAACUCUUCUGUGAAUACAAUUCUGUUUUUAUCUGAAUAGGAAAUCCAUGACGUCCACACAAAGCGCACUACGGUUCUCCACUGCCUUCCUGUGUAUCUGCGCAAAGACGUUUCUGGAUUAUUCAGAACCUGCACAGGCGAGUCUGAUGAGCCAGAGCUGGAAAGUGUUGCAGUGGGCCUCCUUACCGUCAUCAUCAGUGACCAUGCCACAGUCCAAAGUCCAGUUCACUACCACUCUGUGAGCAUCUCUGUCAUCAUUGAAAGUGAUGCCAUGGUCAGCCUCCCCAGAUUAGGCGACGCCUUCCUGGUAAUCUUUGGACUGAUCUAUGCACUACACCUCAGCUAUCUGAAAGCACUGACCAACACUUUUGAAUUCACUCAAAAGAUUUUACCUUGUCUGGAAGGUAGUAAACUGUCACCCAGGUUGCAGACCCUCAAGAAUGACUUGAUGUAGAAAUUCUUCUGAAGGACGCUGCAGGCUUACCAGGCAUUAUAAAAAGGCCAGCUCAAAGUUUUCCUUUUGUCUAAAUAAUGCCUCAAAAAGUUACUGCACUUAAUUGAACCCAGGGUCUUUUUCGACAUGAAAUGACAUAAAAUAAGCCCUCCAGACACUUCUUUUCAUUGAUAAUCGAAUAUAAAGCUUGCCCGGAGCAACGCUAACAGCCCAAAUGCCUUCUAUGUUAUGAGGGGCAGUGCGAACGCUUCCAAAUCAGCAUUUUCUAACCACUAAUAUUGCUCAAAAUAGCACCAAACCUCUGCAGUAGCAUGACUAAGGUCCCUACACAUAAAACAAAGCAUCAACAACUUAGUUAGCGUACCGGGAGUUUAUUAAAAAAUACUGUUUUAGACCAACCGCAGUCUUAGAAGCACGGCUGUCUGAGGCCGGGCUGGGUGUCCAGACAAAUCAUGUCUGUUACGGGACGCAUAAGCCUAAGCCUAGGUUAUAAAUUAGUUGUCGUAAU
rnacentral:lncRNA from 1 species